rnacentral:ribozyme from 15 species
UAAUUUCCAAGGUGCGCAGAAUCAUAUCCUUUUGAAAUUCUUUGGAAGAGAAGGAGGACAUGCAUUUUGCUAGACCCAGAAAAAUCAAUCGGAUGGUAUGUGUUUUGGAAGGGUUGUUGUGUUUGGCAUCGAGAACGUCA